rnacentral:tRNA from 1 species
GCCGGCGUGGCGGAAUUGGCAGACGCGCACGGUUCAGGUCCGUGUGAGAGCAAUUUCAUGCAGGUUCAAGUCCUGUCAUCCGCA